rnacentral:rRNA from 1 species
GAUGAACGCUGGCGGCGUGCCUAAUACAUGCAAGUAGAACGCUGAAGGAGGAGCUUGCUCUUCUGGAUGAGUUGCGAACGGGUGAGUAACGCGUAGGUAACCUGCCUGGUAGCGGGGGAUAACUAUUGGAAACGAUAGCUAAUACCGCAUGACAACAGUUAUUGCAUGAUAACUGUUUAAAAGGGGCAACUGCUCCACUACCAGAUGGACCUGCGUUGUAUUAGCUAGUUGGUGAGGUAACAGCUCACCAAGGCGACGAUACAUAGCCGACCUGAGAGGGUGAUCGGCCACACUGGGACUGAGACACGGCCCAGACUCCUACGGGAGGCAGCAGUAGGGAAUCUUCGGCAAUGGACGGAAGUCUGACCGAGCAACGCCGCGUGAGUGAAGAAGGGUUUCGGAUCGUAAAGCUCUGUUGUAAGAGAAGAACGAGUGUGAGAGUGGAAAGUUCACACUGUGACGGUAUCUUACCAGAAAGGGACGGCUAACUACGUG